rnacentral:rRNA from 1 species
AGAUUGAACGCUGGCGGCAUGCCUAACACAUGCAAGUCGAACGGGAGUAGCAAUACUCUAGUGGCGGACGGGUGAGGAAUACGUAGGAAUUUGCCCUUAAGUGGGGGAUAACCCGGGGAAACCCGGAUUAAUACCGCGUGACCUCGAAAGAGCAAAGUGGGGGAUCGCAAGACCUCACGCUUUUGGAGAAGCCUACGUCGGAUUAGCUAGUUGGUGAGGUAAUGGCUCACCAAGGCGACGAUCCGUAACUGGUCUGAGAGGAUGAUCAGUCACACGGAACUGAGACACGGUCCGGACU